GAAAUGCGAUAAUUAAUGUGAAUUGCAGAAUUCAGUGAAUCAUCGAGUCUUUGAACGCACAUUGCGCCCCCUGGUAUUCCGGGGGGCAUGCCUGUCCGAGCGUCAUUGCUGCCCUCAAGCACGGCUUGUGUGUUGGGCUUCCGUCCCUGGCAACGGGGACGGGCCCAAAAGGCAGUGGCGGCACCAUGUCUGGUCCUCGAGCGUAUGGGGCUUUGUCACCCGCUCCCGUAGGUCCAGCUGGCAGCUAGCCUCGCAACCAAUCUUUUUAACCAGGUUGACCUCGGAUCUGGUAGGGAUACCCGCUGAACUUAAGC
rnacentral:misc_RNA from 1 species